UACGAAGGGUGCAAGCGUUAAUCGGAAUUACUGGGCGUAAAGCGCACGUAGGCGGACCAGAAAGUUGGGGGUGAAAUCCCGGGGCUCAACCUCGGAACUGCCUUCUAAACUCCUGGUCUUGAGUUCGAGAGAGGUGAGUGGAAUUCCGAGUGUAGAGGUGAAAUUCGUAGAUAUUCGGAGGAACACCAGUGGCGAAGGCGGCUCACUGGCUCGAUACUGACGCUGAGGUGCGAAAGCGUGGGGAGCAAACAGG
rnacentral:rRNA from 1 species